UGGGGAAUUUUGGACAAUGGGCGCAAGCCUGAUCCAGCUAUUCCGCGUGUGGGAUGAAGGCCCUCGGGUUGUAAACCACUUUUGUAGAGAACGAAAAGACACCUUUUAAUAAAGGGUGUUGCUGACGGUACUCUAAGAAUAAGCACCGGCUAACUACGUGCCAGCAGCCGCGGUAAUACGUAGGGUGCGAGCGUUAAUCGGAAUUACUGGGCGUAAAGGGUGCGCAGGCGGUUGAGUAAGACAGAUGUGAAAUCCCCGAGCUUAACUCGGGAAUGGCAUAUGUGACUGCUCGACUAGAGUGUGUCAGAGGGAGGUGGAAUGCCACGUGUAGCAGUGAAAUGCGUAGAUAUGUGGAAGAACACCGAUGGCGAAGGCAGCCUCCUGGGACAUAACUGACGCUCAGGCACGAAAGCGUGGGGAGCAAACA
rnacentral:rRNA from 1 species